rnacentral:rRNA from 1 species
CUCCUACGGGAGGCAGCAGUGGGGAAUUUUCCGCAAUGGGCGAAAGCCUGACGGAGCAACGCCGCGUGAGGGAUGAAGGCCUCUGGGCUGUAAACCUCUUUUCUCAAGGAAGAAGAUAUGACGGUACUUGAGGAAUAAGCCACGGCUAAUUCCGUGCCAGCAGCCGCGGUAAU